UGGAGGACUCCACAAAGUUCACCUCCAUAUUGAACCUCUGUCAAGGAUGGAAGAAGGGAAAAGUCCCUAAAUAUUACAAGCAGCAGUCUCUCCUGAUGUAGCAGUGUCCCUUUUAUUCAAAGGGCUACCUCCACCCUGCCUGAAUGUUCCUGUUGUCUGAGAUGCUGGAGGUCUAGGAGUUUGGCAGAUGGGGAGUGGGAGGGAUGCUUUGUGAAUGAAAAGACCAAAUUCUUGCAAUCCAGUUUUGGGCAAACUACAGCAUCCUGGCCUGGGCUGUGCAGUCCUGCACCAUUCCUUCCACUCUGUACCGUUGCAUUGAGGUACUUCUUGCACAAAGCAUCCCAACCCAGCAAGACAAGGAUUUAAAUGUCUGUGGGAUGGGAGCUCCAGGUUUUAGUCUGAAGCAUGGGUGGUUACUUAUUCCCCUGGCAGAAAAGUCUUCUUGGACCAGAGCGCUCUGAAAUGGAUUGUUUAGGGAGGGUGUGUUAAUAGAAGUUGAGCCUAAAAAGUCAGGUUAAACAAUAUUUUCUGGGUUUAGCUAUGGAAAGGAAGACAGAUUAUUGAUCUGUGAUUUCUCCAGCUCCUGUUCUUGUUUUCUGGGACUCUGAGCAAAGUCUGUCUUACAAGUGGUAAUGUCUGAUAAGCCUGUUUGCAAAUGAACACACCUGUUAAUGGUUUAAAAAUGUCCCUCCACAAAAUACCUGUUAAAACUUCACUCUUCAUAUUUUAAAGGGAAGUUUUGUUUUAUGUUCUUCUGUUCAAACAUCAUGUGGCUGAGUAGCAGCAAAGUGAAUAAUAGUUGAGUGCAUAAUUUUGAUCUAAUUACAUUGGUAUUGAAUUGCAGGUGAAGCAUUAAAUUGAUUUGAAAAAAAAUCUC
rnacentral:lncRNA from 1 species